UGUCGCUGCUGUGUCUUCUUGGCCUCCACUGAUUGCCCUUCACAGUUGCUGGCCGCUUCCAACCUCUAGCUGAUCACUCGACCGCACACUGUCACACGACUCUUCGGUUUUUCAACUUUCCCUGCCGUUACUCUCAUCCUUCCCAGUAAAGUUCACAGACACGCCCACGCACGAUGGCCUCGCAUGCUGAGGGACGUCUGCUGCGCCGCUCGGUGCCCUACGUGGAGUCGUGGAUCGCGGAGCUGACCCCCAAGCCUGUAGCCUCUGCCGCUGGUGCCGCUCCUGCUCCGAAGGGCAAGGCGAAGGGUGGCGCUGCGUCGACUGGCACUGAGAACGCCACGGCCAUGUCGCGGUGCUGCUUCGCGGUCGGCAAGGUGCUGGAGGUGUCACGCCACCCGGAGAGCGAGAAGCUGUACAUCGAGAAGAUUGACCUCGGCGCGGAGUUGAACAUGCUGAGCAACAACGAGCCGCGCACCAUCCUCAGUGGAUUGCAGGAGUUCGUAAAGGAGGAAGACUUCGUGAACCGCCUCGUGCUCGUGAUUGCGAACCUGGAACCGCGCAAGAUUGGCGGCAUUCCGUCCGCUGGCAUGGUGCUGUGCGCCUCCACCGGCGAGGACCCGCACGACCCCGCGUUGGCUGGCCAGGGGGAGCGCAAGGUGGUGCUGCUGGACAUCCCGGAGGGGACGGCCGUCGGGGAGCGCGUAGUGUUCGAGGGGCACGACAUGCCGUACGAGCCGGUUCUGAAGAAAAAGCUUGCCAAGAACUUUGAGGAGGUCAUGAAGGACGUGUGCAGCAGCGCCGACGGCGUGGUGUGCUGGCAGGGGAAGCCUUUCCAGACCUCGGCCGGCGUCAUCAAGGCAUCCCUGUGCAACGCUCGUAUCUCGUAACCACAGAAUAAGUGGAAGAAGACGAAGGGGAAGGGGGGGGAGCUCGUGUGUGCGCGUCGCGCGGAGAAAGCCGCACGCCCCUCCCCCCUCCCCCCGAGCACUACAGUUUUCGUCGUCUCCCUUUUAACAACCUGCCACUGACAUG
rnacentral:misc_RNA from 1 species